rnacentral:sRNA from 1 species
CGUCCGUGAUGGUCUAGGGGGCUUCCGAAGUGAUUGGGCAGUGUCAGUCUUCAGCCGCUAAGCCGAGAAGAUCUGGGAAGGAGUCAGAGAGCGUUGGGCCAGAGUUCCAGGGGCUCUGGGAGUGGCUGCCAGGUCUGACCCUUGGGAAGAAUCCAGCACGAGAAAGCAACCCCAAAGAAAUACUCACAGUUCAGUGCCGAUGUGGCCGAGGCCAUUGCCUUCUUUGACUCCAUCAUUGCAGAGCUGGAUACAGAGAGACGACCCCGGGCUGCUGAGGCCAGCCUGCCAAAUGAAGAUGUGGACUUUGACGUGGCCACCAGCUCCAGGGAGCACAGCUUGCAUUCUAACUGGAUCCUGCGGGCACCACGCAGACACUCCGAGGAUAUCGCUGCCCACACUGUGCAUACUGUAGAUGGCCAGUUUCGAAGGAGCACUGAGCGCAGGACCGUGGGCACUCAGAGGAGACUCGAGAGGCACCCCAUUUAUUUGCCCAAGGCUGUGGAAGGGGCCUUCAACACCUGGAAAUUUAAGCCCAAAGCCUGCAAAAAAGACCUGGGGAGCUCCAGACAGAUCCUUUUCAACUUCUCAGGAGAAGAUAUGGAGUGGGAUGCAGAGCUCUUUGCGUUGGAGCCCCAGUUGUCUCCUGGGGAGGACUACUAUGAGACAGAGAACCCCAAAGGACAGUGGCUGCUUCGAGAAAGACUUUGGGAGCGGACGGUGCCCUGACUCCAUCUGGAUUCCUUGACGUGUCUCAGACUGGGUCCCUGAGAAGCUGUCCGCUUUCAGCGCAGCAUGA